CUCAGAGCCACCACCCACUGCCGCUCGCUUUUGUCAGCAUCAUUUUUGAUGUCUCCCGGUCGACCUUGAGUGAUGUUGUUCCUCUCUUCUUCUUUUUCUUCUCUUAAGAGUUAGAGCAAAACAAAAGUUUGUUUUCUACUUCAAACAUCUUUGGCUGAGGAUUGAAGUGUGGGGGAGAAAAACUCUGCCUCCCACUCAGACGUUGAAAUAACCAACUUGAGAACUCAUGAAGGACACGCUGUAAACCCUUUCAGUCCUAUUUUUCACAUUUCUCAUCUUGCAGCGCCACAGACUCGACAUAUUGUUCUUGUUUUGCGCCCUGCUUGUUGUUGUAUCUCCAAGAUUGAGCAGUGCUAAACCGGUAAUAAUCUGAGGAGGAGGGGGAUUAAUGCUCCUUGGAGGAUGAUGUACCUUGGCUGCGAGCGUCCAGAGAGGGCCGGGGGAUAGAAAAGGACAUCCGCCUGAUUAUGUCGGACAGAAGGAAUCGUGUCAGCGUCUUGUAGGGCGAGCGGCAGGAGGCCAAACUACACUAAUCCUGCCGCUGUUGUGUCCUUCCUCACCCCCCCCCCCCCCCUUGACAACAUAGUGCUCAUUUGGAAACCGCUGCUGUGCAUUUGAGGUCAAGACGUUUGAGCGGAUUGUGGUGACUUUACAAGUUUACAACAAGCUGAGAGAUGAACAGCAAAUUAGCAGGAAGCUAAGACGUUUUUAAAGGCAUCUCAAUCAACCAAUCAACUUUAUUUGUAAAGCACUGAACACACAACACAGAGGUAGAAGAGAAGAGAAAAUCAGAAGUGAUGAAAGGAUAACACUUUAUCCUCGAUCUCUGCACAGACAGGUAGCCCUUUUCAGGCGGCUUUUUUCACAAAACUGAUGGAUAAAAAAUUACAUUUUUAUUUUUCUGUGAAUAAAGCAUAAAAACAAGAGGGGGUAGGACCAGAAAAGUUUUUAACUUCUUCCUAUCCCUUUUGAACAUGAACUUUAUUAUUUGAGUUAUUUAUUUGUUGCUAUGAAUCCUGAGGAUUCUGUUUGUUUUUUUCCUUUUUUAUUGCGUAUACUUUUUAUUUUGUUUGUAUUAUCUUAACAUUUUCAAGAAAUUGACUAAAAUAAAUACAUAGAAUUAAAAGCCAAUAGGCAACAGUUGGUAGGAUAUAUACAGGUCGUUCCCCAGCCUCGGGGCCCGGUCACCUUUAGUUUGAAGGUCGGCCUGAGGUAUCGUAAGUCUGCAAUGUAAUUUGGAGCUGAACCCCUACGAGCUUUAAAAGUGAUCACAAGAGUUUUAAAAUCAAUCAACUGAGAUCAGGAGUCAGGAGAAUAACUGGAGCAGUCCUCAUGAAAUGAUCUAGAUAUUUUGAUCUGAUAUAUGAAUAUAUGAAGUGCAUAUUUGGAAACGGCUCGAGAAAACUUUAUGUAUCCCAUAGGGCAGUUUGGGUUUACACUCUCCAAACACCAUUCAUACAUUUACAAACCAACAGCAGACAGGAGUUUCUCAGAGACAAUAAAGAGUCUGUAUAUUAACAGAGACGAGCGCUAGAAACCCGAAUCUGUUCAAACAUUUAAACAACAAGGAGUUAAUGCUGAACAGACCGAGAUUAUCUUAUUAAAAAAACAAACACUCGUCACACUCUCAGAGAGAAUGACGGUUUGUGUUUCUGUCUCUGUGAUUCCUCAGAAACACGUCUUUAAUCUCACAGCUCGACCCUUUCUGCCGCCGUGAUAAUCCCUGAUGCCCAUUUCUGGCCGAAACAACGCAAGUUCAUCAGAGGCCAUCUCAUCCGUUUAAAAACUUGUCAAGGAUUAAAAGAACAUCUUUUUUUUCUUGUGUUUCCGGGAAGAUUAACGUGUGUUCUCCCCCCCAAAAAAAAUCUGGGCCAAUGCAGAGCGCCAUGAAAACAAAAGCAUCUUCUGCUCUUCAGCUGAGCCUCCGGUCUCUGCCAGGCUGAAAUAUGACAUCAAUGUAGAUUAUAUUAGAGUUUAACAAAAACUGACUCUAUUAACUAUGUCAUCUGCAUAUGAAACAUUUAUUUAUUUGUAUUCCUCUCUUGGAGUUUAAUCUGUUAACGCAAAACAAAUCAGCUUGUUGGAAACUAACAUAAACUUAAGAAAAACCCUUUAACUAAAUUAAAAGAAGAAUGUGCAACAUGUUACACAUAAAUAUAUCAUAAAUCCAGUCUAUCCUGUGUAAAUGUGUCUCUGAGUCAUGACUGUCUACAAUGAGUGAGAAGCUCGAGUCCCGCUGGCUGUGUUGUUGUCAGAGCCGUGUUUACAUGGACGGGACGGCCGGCUCCUCCCC